rnacentral:rRNA from 1 species
CCUGACCUCGAUUCGAAGCCGGGAAACCCAACAAAG